GACGAACCGUGCGAACGUUGUUCGGAAUCACUGGGCUUAAAGGGCGCGUAGGCGGCGGAUCAAGUCCGGGGUGAAAGCCCCCAGCUUAACUGGGGAAGUGCCUCGGAUACUGGUUCGCUCGAGGAAGGUAGGGGUCGCGGGAACUUCCGGUGGAGCGGUGAAAUGCGUUGAUAUCGGAAGGAACGCCGGUGGCGAAAGCGGCUUCCUGGUCCAGCACCGACGUUCAGGCACGAAAGCGUGGGGAGCAAACAGG
rnacentral:rRNA from 1 species